ensembl:lncRNA
GCUUGAGGAAGACUGUUGCUGAGCUAACAUCUAUGCCAAUCUUCCUCUGUUUUAUAUGGGACACCACCACAGUGUGGCUUGACGAGCAGUGCUAGGUCCGUGCCCAGGAUCUGAACCUCGAACCCUAGGCUGCCGAAGCAGAGCAUGCGAACUUAACCACUAUGCCACCGGGCCAGCCCCCUCAGGGAAUUCCAGGAGCUUCUAGCUCAGCACUUUGAAUUCUUCAGUAGGUUUGGAGUGGAAAACCACAGAAGGGAACCAUGGCAGAAACUGCAGUUGUCCUCCAGUCUGUACUUCUUUUCUUAUAUAACAGAACUUCCGGCAAGACACGUGGUCACCAAGUUUCCCUGCCUUCCUUGCAGAAUGAAGAUGUGAGAGUUGGAGCUGGAGCAGCUGAGGAGUCACGCACUCAGGAUUGCAAACGGAAGCCAAGUAUUGACAAGGGUGGCAGCACAACAAGGAAAACACAUUGGGCCCCUGACACUGCUGAACAACCACUGUAUUCUGGCAUCUCUUUGUCAGUUGUUGAACCUCUAUCCUAAGUAAUACCAGAUCUAAACAUUUAGUACAACAGACUUCCUGAUCCUGAAACCGAGUGUGCCCUUUGUAAAGAAUGUACAAUCGAGUUAGUCAAGCUUUCUUUUGCUUAUGGGUGCAAGGACCCAAUUCUACCUCAGUGAUCAAGAGUGACUCCUUAUUUCAGAACAUGUUAUAUAAUUGGGAUGGUGAAGACACUGCAGAAACUCAUCUGGUAUUUUCAGCUGAUCACGUAUGCUUGGGUUCUUAGUUUCCGUCUUUCUGCCUGAUACUGACCAACCCCUCUUUUGUCCCCCCACACUCCAAUUCAAAAUUUGUGCAAGUGGUGCCAAGGGUUUUGUGUAGGAGGGCUGCCCAAAUGAGCUUUUCUUGCCAUCUAGCCUCUCAGGCAAUGUGGUGAAUUCAAGGCCACACCUGCCACUUAGUAAGAAUGCAAACAAAUUAUUGAGAACUAUAAUUAUUCAUGUAUUAACACACAGGAUAAGUUAAGAUGACUAAGGAUAAGCCACGGAGCAACCACUUAAUAGAAAUCCUGAAUUUUUGGGAUGGCUCUUAGGAACACUAAGUAUGCUUUCCUUCUGAGCUGGUUGCUCAUUGGCGAAGAUUCCAGCAAGAGACUUAACUCUAGCCUGUGACCUUCUUGGGUCCUGCUGAGUCCCUUUUUAAUCUAUACUCAGAAUGUCAUAAAGAGAGGCUGCUGAAGCUCCCCCCAACCCAAGCCGGUUAGCAGCUCUGGUCUACUCAUGGAAGUCUUUAAUCCAUCCAGAUUAAAAUAACACCCAGUUGACUGCUGGAUACACUUCAUCGUUGUGUCUGAGAACUCCCUCUCAACUUCCGAGGUUAUUCUCUGAUACCAUGCUUGAGGUACUCGAUAGUAUUUCAUUUUCCCAAUUUUUCAAGUAAGGAAGCUGAAAAGUCACACAGCAGCAUCGGGGUUUAAACCUUCCAUGGUCUGAGGCCAAAGCCCAUUUUGUUUCCAGCUCUCACUGAGCAGAGUUGAGGCUGGAAGACCAUCUGACAGCCUUCCAGCCCCGUCAGCAUCUUUACUGAGUAGCUUUGUUAUUUGAUGUAAACAGUCGUAAAUUCCCAGAACCGGAGACACACCCAUAUAAAAAUGUUAAUUACUAAAAUGCCUCAUAAAACCAAAGGAAAAUGAACAGUGAAUUCAAGUCCCACUAGAAUUCUCUGUCUCUGGAUCCCCUCCACUAGGACAAACAAUUGAGAACUGACAAGAUUUAAUUUUUCUUAAGUUCUAUCCAGUCAGAUCUCUCAAAUCUGACCCCUCCAGCCAUUCUGUGAAACUUAUUAAUUACGGAGAAAACGAUGACUGACGCUAUGCUUUAAGCUGCUCUUCAAAUGGAAACAUAUGAGAAACUGAGGCUUGUUUAAGUAACAGACCUUCUCCAGGCCCCCAAGUUUUGCUGAAACUGUCAGAGGACACACACAUGGACGACUGUGCUAGUGCUUACUCUUUCUGAAAGUUCCAGAAACCACAGCUUCUGGUGAAGCGCCCUGCCGGAACAGCAGGCUUUAGAAAACAACAACAAAAAUCCCUCUGGGAUGAAAGAGGCUCAUUUGUUUUCAAGUUGUGGCCCUUCCACCCUCCGGGGGCCCCUCCCUCAUGCCUGCGUCUAAGGCUUUGAUUUAUAAUCUUCCACCCACGCAAGCCUUGGCAUCCGCUGGGAUCCUACAAUGAGGUUGAGGUGUAAACCUGGAGGAAACUUGUAAGGACAAGAGCAAGUUGGGGGUAGAGGGAAAGAGGGAGAGUGAGAGAGAGGAAAAGAAAUUAGGAGACCACACGCUUGGCACAAUUGAAUGAGCACAUGUGUUGGGAAGGCCCAGCUGACUAAGGAGUGCUGACUGUGGGUUUGGUGGCCAAGACCAUGCCUUUGGUUCUGCGGCACAGCUUCCAGCAGGAGAGCUCAUUGCCCAGUGCACUGUGACCAGGAUGGCUGGCAUGUGAACACUCCUCCUCUUUUGUCAGGAUUUCUUUUAUAGGCUUGCACAGCCAGAUCUGUGUUCCCAGCUGUAAGGCUGGGGAUUCAGUGUAUCCCCUGGGGGGUAAAUAGUAGCAGCUGCAAUCUUCUGCCAGAAAAGAACUUGCUGCCCCAGCUUGGAGGUUCAGCGGAUGAUGAGCCCAAGUUGUUCUGGAACACAAAAUAUGAUUCCCCAUGGGCCAACCUUUGCAAACUGCAAGAUGGCAAGCAAAUAUGGACCCUCGUGGUUCUAAUAGGUAUCACUAUGGCAGGGCUAGAUCGAUGGGCUUUCUUGAAAAGGAGGGAGCCUCAGAACUGAUGGAUUAGUGCCUGAAGGGAGUUGCAAGAUUCUCCUUGCACUUCUGAAGUCUGCGUAACUCAAAAUUCUCCCUUUGGCAAGUGUUUCUGAGGCAGCGUUGAAGCCAUGGGUUCUAGAGACUGACUCAGGUUAGAAGUCUGGCUCUGACACUUACCAUCCGGGUGACCUAGCGCAAUUUUCUCCCCUAGAAAACGGGGAUAAUACCCUCUACCUUACUGGAUUGUGGUUGUGUUAGAAAUAAUGUACGUAAAGUGCUUAGCAUAGUGUCCGAGCAUAUAAUAGAGGCUCAAUAAACACUUAGCCAGAGCUGUUGAUGAGAAAAUUAAUCUGGUUUAGCACUGAAGUAGUGGAAGAGAAGGAGAAACGGUAGUGACAUGUCUAAUACAACACACUUAGGAAAAACAAGCAUGGGGACAUUUAUUAUAUAUAGGACCAAGUAAACGCUCCAGAGGGACUCGGGGAGCCCAGGAGGUACAGAUGUUAAGCACCAAAGUCCAUGUCUGUCACUGCAGGAAAAGAACCAUAGAUGGUUUCUCAGGAUAUCUGGAGAGGGCAGGUAAUUCUUGGACUGUGUCAGAGGAAAUAAAUUUUAGCUGCAUAGCCUAGGCAAUGCUAUAAUUAGGUGACAACGGAUGAGAAUUGUGGAACUUACUACUUUCAUUGAUUUGUAAAUUCUGAUUUACAUGGGUUCCAUAGAGUCAAUCAUGCUGCAUUCACACUGGUACAAUGAUAAGACAAAUACUGUCCACAGCCCGUUCAGAAAGCACACUAACCCAAAAAAUGGCAUUUGGAGCCUCUGGUUUAGAAAUCAGAAGUUUGAAUCCAAAUCUUCAAUUUUUUGGACUAAUUAUUUUUUCUGUCAUUCUGCAUCUUCUAUAUUUUCCAAGAUCUACCAUAUAAUCACUUACCUUGAACAUUAAAACAAGACAAAUAUUUCUUAAGGGCAUGCAAUGAUAGGCACUGUGAAGGAUCCAAAGGAAUUGAACGUGCUUCCAGACUCCACAAUUGGCAGGAACUGACCAGAGAUUAGAAUCAUAUCCAGGCUUGUAUUCUUUAUUUUCUUAGCCACUCUUUAACAUUCUUCGCAUUCCCCAACUGGCUGAUUACAACACCUGAGUCAAGAUUGAUUGCUGUCUUCAAGCAUGUUUAGUAUUGACUGGAUCUAUUUAUAUGUAAAAAACAGCUAGCAAUUAUUGAGCUCCUACUAUGCGCAGGGCAUCCACAUUACACGUAUUCGUUCCUCUAGUCCUGAGAGGAACCGUAUGUGGUUCUUACAAUUAUCAACUUCAUUUUAUAAAUGAGGAAAUUGAAGCCUCGAGAUUAAGGAACCAGAGCAAGGUAACAGCCUAGGGAGUGUCAUCGCUAGGAAUUAAUGUGUAGGUGCAGAGAGGGGUAAGUCUCUUUGGAUGCCAGGGAAAGAAAUGAGAUGAAUCACACUGGGAAGGGGGACUGAAAUUUACAUUUUACCAUCUUCCAGACAACAGCUCAGUAAGGAAAGCUGCUUUUGUCACUUACAAAUAAUGCUGUAGAGGGCGCCAAAUAUACAAGCCGCGACGUUAAGGCUGUUUGGAUAAUAACACAGUUCCCACAGUGCUACCAGAUAUAUAAUCAGUAAUGGAUUCAAGCCAAAAGGCCCUCCCAAAAAGAGUAUGACGCAGUUUAUGAUAAUUAAGAAGCUGUAUUUCUAUCCCCUCAAUUAAAAAAAAGAAAGAAUCUCAUGCUUUAUAUUGAGCAAUUCAUAAUUUGUUUCUACUUGAUCCUGAUUGUUAUUCAAAGUACCUUUCAGCCGGGUGUUUAAUUUCUCUUUGCUCAGCCUGCUGAGUGGAGAAGGGAAAGGACAGAGCAACCUGGAUGGAAAUACAUUUCUAACAACUGCACUGAGAUGUAGUUUUAGCUUUUAAGUUUUACUUAACACAGUAAAACGUGCAUACAUUUAAGAAAAAGAAAAAAAUCCAUAUACAACAGCUUAAGUGAAAAGGAACAAGGCUCCAACCUCGAGUCAACAUCUUUUAGUGAUAACUCCACAUUUCCAAACAAAUCAAGAUAUAGAAAUAUAGACAUAUCAAACUAUUUACUUUCCUCUGUGAAAGUUGAGUUAGCUAACAGAAUAUACAUCUCUCAUAAAUCACAAAGUUUACAAAAUAAUCUUUAUUGUUUCCCACUAUUACAAGAGCAACACAUCAUCACUGCAGAACAUUUUAAAAAUAGAAAGAGGAAAUCAUUAACAUUUUGAUGUAUAUCCUUACGGGCACUUUUUUUUUUUUUUACGAAAAUGCGAUUACCGUGUGCAUGUGAUUUCAUUAAACUACACAUGAUGCUCAUCUCUCCGUGUCAGUAGACGGUCUUCCAUUUCACUUUGGGUUUGUCUUAUUGCAGCGUGAUUUACAUGGAGGUUAAGUGUUCUGAGGCGUAAGGAAGCUCCAGCUCCUCGGCCGUCGGGGUGUUGAGGGCACCGUCCAGGCUGUGUCGGGGGCCAGGACUGAGAGUCCUGCCGGGAGUGCAGAAUCGGACCCCGCCCGGCAGGGAAACGUUCUAACUCCUCAACACCGCAGGCCUCGGAGCACCGGGAGUCACUCACGAGCGGGGAGUUCGCCCAUUGUUCGGUGGAAGAUAACCUCUCGUCUAAUUCUUUGCAAUUCCCGUGUAAACUGCCCUAAGCACAGACAACGAGCAGAGUCAUCAGUGAACCAGAGAGAGAAGGCAGGCUGGCCUCUCUCCCGCGCCCGCCCUCUGCGCCCCAUCCCAACCGUCGGGCCAGCGUCGGGGAGCGCAGAGGCCGCCAGGCAGCGGCCUAAAACGUGUCGGGGUCGGGGCAGUUAGUCACCUCCUGGUACGCCUCCACUCCCUCGGCUCCCUGUGAGGUAGACCCCGCCGCCGUCACCAGCAACCCAGCCCGAGGCCGGCAUCCAUUUCCUCCCGGCGCCAGCGCAGCGGGCGCGCGGGCGGCGACCUGAGGCCAGAAGAUGGCGGCCGCGCCAGGCUCCGAGGCCGACGGAGCGCGGCGGGCGCAGAGCUGGCAGCGGCGCUGAGCAGGCUCUCCGGAGGGAGGGCGGCGCAGCGGGGUUAAGGGGAGCGGGCGACCAAGAGGGCACCGGGCACCGGAAGAGCCCCCGCCGCGCAACGGCCGCAGACGGCGCGGGCGGAAGCGGCCUGGCUGGGCGUCCGGCGCCGCCCGCCGCGGGGGAGCACGCUUCCUCUCUCCUCCGAGGCCGUGGCCCAGCUCCCCCGGCCCGCGGGCCUCCCGGCGGUCUCCGGCCUGAGAGGGCUGCGGCGCGCCCCGUCGCCCCGUGACGCAGGAAGCAGCGCGGCCGACGCCCUUCCCCGCGCGGGCCGGCCGCCAACGCCCGAGGCCGCGCCCGCCGCUCGCGCUCCGGACGGGCCGCGCGGGCGCCCACCCGCGAGAAAGGGGCGAGCCCUCACGAAGGCCGCCUCCCCCGGCGGGCGCGGCCGGGUGUCCGCAGACGACACUCGCAGCGCCGCUUCCACGGAAGGUCAGCGCCGGGUUCCGGAGCCUCCCCCUGUGGACCGGCCAGGCUCCGCGCGGGGCCGGCGUUCUCUCCAAACAGCUCCCCGGCCUGUCCUCGGCCCCUCUCGGCCAGCGGGCUUCCGCGAGGCCGCGGGGAGAGCACGCGCCGCGGCGUCCCCGCCCGGAGCCCGAGACAGUCCGAGCUGGGCGCCGCGAAGCACACUUGACCGGGCUGAGGAGGGAUUCGGAGGCCUCGCGGCACGACACUGGGGAAGGAAGGAACUGUUCAGGCCAUUUAGCUUAUUUCCCUGGAGCUGGCUCCUGGCCAGCAAAGAGCGUCCCGGGAAAAG